rnacentral:rRNA from 1 species
GACGGAGGAUGCAAGUGUUAUCCGGAAUCACUGGGCGUAAAGCGUCUGUAGGUGGUUCGAAAAGUCCACUGUUAAAGAUUGAGGCUUAACUUCAAAAAUGCCGUGGAAACUUUCAAACUAGAGUAUGGUAGGGGUAGAGGGAAUUUCCAGUGGAGCGGUGAAAUGCGUAGAUAUUGGAAAGACCACCGAUGGCGAAGGCACUCUACUGGGCCAUUACUGACACUGAGGCGCGAAAGCGUGGGGAGCAAACCGG